rnacentral:snRNA from 1 species
AACACACCAGAGUUUAACAAAGCAGUGGCCUAGUAUAUGUUCUUAUCAGUCUGAUAUGCCUUAUAUCUGACAACAAUAUACUAAAUAAAUUUUUGAGGCAGUGGAAUAGGCGUUUACUCUGUCUAUUCCAUACAUUGACCUGGUAUUGUAGUACCUCCAGAAACGAUGUACCCCCC